rfam:Pseudozyma hubeiensis SY62 DNA, scaffold: PHS37.
UCCCAGUUAGUACAAUGGUCAGUAUACGGCUUUUUCAUCGCGUAAACACGAACAGCUGAGAUCGGGGUUCGAUUCCCCGGCCGGGAA